rnacentral:rRNA from 1 species
GGUUAAGCGACUAAGCGUACACGGUGGAUGCCUAGGCAAUCAGAGGCGAUGAAGGACGUGCUAAUCUGCGAUAAGCGUCGGUAAGGUGAUAUGAACCGUUACAACCGACGAUUUCCGAAUGGGGAAACCCAGUGCAAUUCGUUGCACUAUCGUUUGAUGAAUACAUAGUCAAACGAAGCGAACCGGGGGAACUGAAACAUCUCAGUACCCCGAGGAAAAGAAAUCAACCGAGAUUCCCCUAGUAGCGGCGAGCGAACGGGGAGCAGCCCAGAGUCUUAAUCAGCAUUAGCAUCAGGAGAACGGUCUGGAAAGUCCGGCAGUAAAGGGUGAUAGCCCCGUAUCCGAAGGUGUUAGUGU